rnacentral:rRNA from 1 species
AUUGAACGCUGGCGGCAGGCUUAACACAUGCAAGUCGAACGAGUGGCGGACGGGUGAGUAAUGCUUGGGAAUCUGGCUUAUGGAGGGGGAUAACUACGGGAAACGGUAGCUAAUACCGCAUACCAUCGGAUGUGCCCAAGUGGGAUUAGGUAGUUGGUGAGGUAAAGGCUCACCAAGGCGACGAUCCCUAGCUGGUCUGAGAGGAUGACCAGCCACACUGGGACUGAGACACGGUCCAGACUCCUACGGGAGGCAGCAGUGGGGAAUAUUGCGCAAUGGGGGCAACCCUGAUGCAGCCAUGCCGCGUGAAUGAAGAAGGCCUUCGGGUUGUAAAGCUCUUUCAGUGGGGAGGCGUUAACCACAGAAGAAGCACCGGCUAACUCCGUGCCAGCAGCCGCGGUAAUUC